rfam:Pseudomonas sp. 5 contig5, whole genome shotgun sequence.
ACCCCCGGUAUUAUUGAUGUUAUGGGUUGCCACCGAGCUUAGCCUUGUUCAUUUUUUUACACAACACCCCCGUAAAAAAUAGAACACGGCCCGCUCAAAAUCGCUCGUAUGGUACGAAAGCAGUGAUUGUCUGCGCCCUCAAUUGCAGCAAAAAUGCCGCUUGAGGGCCGUUUUAGGGCAU